UACGGGGGGGGUAAGCGUUGUUCGGAAUUACUGGGCGUAAAGGGCUCGUAGGCGGCCAACUAAGUCAGACGUGAAAUCCCUCGGCUUAACCGGGGAACUGCGUCUGAUACUGGAUGGCUUGUGUUCGGGAGAGGGAUGCGGAAUUCCAGGUGUAGCGGUGAAAUGCGUAGAUAUCUGGAGGAACACCGGUGGCGAAGGCGGCAUCCUGGACCGAUACUGACGCUGAGGAGCGAAAGCAUGGGGAGCGAACAGG
rnacentral:rRNA from 1 species